rnacentral:rRNA from 1 species
CCUACGGGCGGCAGCAGUGGGGAAUAUUGCGCAAUGGGCGAAAGCCUGACGCAGCGACGCCGCGUGAGGGAUGAAGGUCUUCGGAUCGUAAACCUCUGUCAGCAGGGAAGAACGGUCACUGUGCUAAUCAGCAGUGAAUUGACGGUACCUGCAAAGGAAGCACCGGCUAACUCCGUGCCAGCAGCCGCGGUAAUACGGAGGGUGAGAGCGUUAAUCGGAAUUACUGGGCGUAAGGCGCUCGUAGGCGGUAUGUCAAGUCAAGGGUGAAAUCCCCGCGCUCAACGUGGGAACUGCCUUUGAAACUGGCAAACUGGAGUGUGUGAGAGGAUGGUGGAAUGCCAGGUGUAGGAGUGAAAUGCGUAGAUAUCUGGAGGAACAUCAGUGGCGAAGGCGACUAUCUGGCACAUAACUGACGCUGAGGAGCGAAAGCGUGGGUAGCAAACAGGAUUAGAUACCCCAGUAGUC